CUCACAAUGAAGAGGUUCACAUGUCUGAUCCUCUUCAUCAACCCAGCGCCCCAGCUUCAUCAAUUAACCCACGCCCUCUCUCUCUCUCCACUCCCAUGUAAACCCACGCCCUCUCUCUCUCCACUCCCAUGUAAACCCACGCACUUCAUCAACCCGGAGCUCGAUCCUCUUCAUCGCACGCCCCAGCUUCAUCAACCCGGCGCUCGAUCGAGGCGAAAAACUGCGAUUUUCCUAUUUCGGAGAUCGAGUGAGAGCGAACGAUCAAGCGAACUAGAGAGAGAGAGAGAGUUCGAUUUUUCUAUCUGCGUCCAAAUGUCGCGAAGCCAUUCGAAUCGAGGGUGAUUCCACAGUGAUUCGACGAUCUGAUAGGCUUUUUGAGUGCGAAGAACGCCGAUCCUGAAGAAUCUGGGGAUUUUAAGUUAAAAUUUGGGAAAAAAUUUUAGUGAUUUUUUAGUUUGACGGCUCUUGAGUUUCUGCUACUAUUUCUUGAUCCAAAUGAAGUUGUUGCGAUCUGUAUAAUUUAUUUUUGCGAAAUUAGAGUUAAUCCUACUCGCUAUGUUGUCCUGUUCAAAGUUUCAAAUCGAAUUCUCAGCUACGUGGUUCUUCUUUUUUUUUUUCCUUUUAAUUCUCCCUAAUUUUUCGAUGUCCUCCGGAGAUCCGAUUGAUCAUUUAGGGCUCCGAAAUGUUCUUCAUCUCCCUCGCCCUCUCUUCGAUCUGUUGCUGCGAUCAAAUUUCGAAGAUCUGAGUGAUUUCGAAGUGAUUGAGCCGAUCGAGUUAAACUGCGAUUUUCCUAUUUGAUCGCGUGGAUUUGAUCGCACUGCUCCAAAGCUUCCUUAGGUGGUCCUCUUCACAAAUCCAAGCUCAAUCCCAAACUGCGGCACAUCGCUCCUCUUCCUCUGCUGCUUCUUGUGCUUGUUUUCGGCAAAAUUAAGCUCCAAUUCGGACGACGGAUCAAGAGAGAUCACCAUCGAUACUGAAAAAUAUAGGAAUCUCCGGUUUAUGAAUAAUUUCGAAGUGAUCUGUUGAGCCGAUCGAGUUAAACUGCGAUUCCCUAUUUGGUCGCUUGGAUUUGAUCGCAUUGCUUCAAAGCUUCCUUAGGUUUGGGCCUAAUUGUAAAGUAACUAUGACUCUAAGUUGCUAGAGAUGCAGCAAAAUUAUGAGCAGAAAUUACAAGGGAUGCAAAAGAAUUAUAAAUCACAGUUGGAAGAUAUGAAGCAGCUAUUAGUUCAAAUCGCCUCAAAACUGCAAUGAGGGGCUCUCAGACAAUUUUACCUAGGGCAACGUUCCAACGACGUGAGCAUCAUCAGGAUGAAUAUUGUCUGACAUAUACUAUUUUGGUGGGAAUCCUAAAGCAGUUGAGCUCUGCUCAUAUAACUCUUUUCAUCACAUUUUGUCUACGGCUACAUAUACAUUACCGGAGGGCAUUCGUUUAAACUGAAAACACUAUAUACGCUAUACGAUUAAUAAUUCAUUGUGAAUAAAAAAGUGAUGAAAUUUUUGUUUGUUCCUAUUAUUCCCUGCUUAUACAAUAGUAGAGAAUUUUUGAUUUCU